AGAGUUUGAUCCUGGCUCAGAACGAACGCUGGCGGCGCGUUUUAAGCAUGCAAGUCGAACGGUAGAGAUCCUUCGGGGUCUUGAGAGUGGCGAACGGGUGAGUAACACGUAGAUGAUCUGCCUUGAAGUUGGGGAUAUGGGGUAAUACCGAAUAAUAUCUUACGACUUUGGUUGUUUGAUGAAAGGGGCUUUAUGCCUCGCUUUAAGAUGAGUCUGCGGUCUAUUAGCUAGUUGGUAGGGUAAGAGCCUACCAAGGCGACGAUAGAUAGCCGGCCUGAGAGGGUGACCGGCCACAUUGGGACUGAGACACGGCCCAAACUCCUACGGGAGGCAGCAGCUAAGAAUCUUCCGCAAUGGGCGAAAGCCUGACGGAGCGACGCCGCGUGGACGAAGAAUGCCGAGAGGUUGUAAAGUCCUUUUAUACGUGAAGAAUAAUGAUUGCAGGUAAUGGCAAGUCAGAUGACGUUAGCAUAUGAAUAAGCUCCGGCCAAUUACGUGCCAGCAGCCGCGGUAACACGUAAGGAGCGAGCGUUGUUCGGAAUUAUUGGGCGUAAAGGGCAUGUAGGCGGUUAUAUAAGUCUGAUGUUAAAUCCCACAGCUUAACUGUGGAUCGCGCUGGAAACUGUAAGACUAGAAUCUAGGAGGGGAAGCUGGAAUUCCUGGUGUAGGGGUGAAAUCUGUAGAUAUCAGGAAGAACACCGGUGGCGAAGGCGAGCUUCUGGCCAUAGAUUGACGCUGAGGCGCGAAAGCGUGGGGAGCGAACAGGAUUAGAUACCCUGGUAGUCCACGCUGUAAACGAUGUGCACUAGGUGUUGGACCUUAAGGUUGUUCAGUGCCGUAGCUAACGCGUUAAGUGCACCGCCUGGGGAGUAUGCCCGCAAGGGUGAAACUCAAAGGAAUUGACGGGGGCCCGCACAAGCGGUGGAGCAUGUGGUUUAAUUCGAUGAUACGCGAGAAACCUUACCAGGGCUUGACAUAUUUUUGACGUUCACAGAGAUGUGGAUUUCUCUUCGGAGACAAUUAUUACAGGUGCUGCAUGGUUGUCGUCAGCUCGUGUCGUGAGAUUUUGGGUUAAGUCCCGCAACGAGCGCAACCCUUGCCGUCUGUUGCCAGCAAAUUAAGUUGAGGACUCAUGCGAGACUGCCGGUGACAAACCGGAGGAAGGUGGGGACGACGUCAAGUCAUCAUGGCCCUUAUGACCUGGGCUACACACGUGCUACAAUGGCCGGUACAGAGUGAUGCGAAGCCGCGAGGUGGAGCUAACCGCAAAAAGCCGGUCUCAGUUCGGAUUGGAGUCUGAAACUCGACUCCAUGAAGGUGGAAUCGCUAGUAAUCGCAUAUCAGCAUGAUGCGGUGAAUACGUUCCCGGGCCUUGUACACACCGCCCGUCACACCACCCGAGUUGGGGGUACCCGAAGUCGUUAGUCUAACCGUAAGGAGGACGGCGCCGAAGGUAUGCUUAGUAAGGGGGGUGAAGUCGUAACAAGGUAACC
rnacentral:rRNA from 1 species